GCUCAGUGAUGAAAAAUAACCAAAUAUGAUCAUCAAGAGACCUUUUGGUCUUUGCCUUACAUGAUCUGUAUGUGUUUCUGAGA